CUCCUGACUGCUGGGGAUGUCGUAAUGACAAACCUGACGAGAGAACGUUUGGGGGAAAAAAAAAGUGAGCUUGCAUCCCACGCGGCAGAGCGCGAGGACUGCUGACUCAUUCGUAACAUGGCAGAGGUUUUCAUGCGCACGCCCUCGCAAUGGAGUCGCGGGGCAUGUUGGAGCCUAUCCCAGCUGGCCAAAUUGAAUUCAAAGUGCGGCAGGUUUGUUACUUUAUGGACCCGCAUUUGCCACCUCUGCGAGUGAGUGUGGGUGCCCUCCUCCACCUGUAGACACAGGAAGCGCCAGCUAUUACUGUCGUUCACGGCGGCGUGUGAAGUGACGGCCUGGUUCGAAACACUCACCGGCUCCAACCGGUGUCUCUCGGUGGCCAUGUCCACCUUGAGCGAGUGGAAGGGCGUGUACACCUCUCCCAGUGUCAGACGAACCGGCUCGCGCUCAAACACUAGUAUGUCGCCAUCAGCCUCCUUGAAGCCCGGCGGCUGGUAGUUGUGCGGAGUGACUGAGGACGAUGAAAUGAGCACAUGGCUUUUGAAUCAGAGUUUAAAACAAAAGCGUUGCCUGUGAAAAUUAUGAUUUUAUUUUGGAAGAACAGGACGCAGAAUGACCUCACCUAAUUUUAUUCUAUCAAUGUUUUUUCUGGAUGCAAGGUAAUGUUAUUGAUUUCUGACUAAAAAAAUUAUGAGAUUAGUGUCACUUGUACACAACUGCUGUACAGUUGACUACAAGCAGUACAAAAAGGGAAAAACUACGGACAAACAGACAUUUGGUUGAUUUUUUUUUUCCGUUGAUGUGUGAAGGGCCAUAAUCAGUCCAUUUAAAUACUCAGCCACGUAACGGGUGGUCCCGAAUAAUUUCAUUUAAAUUCCAGAGCAUUUGUUUUUCCAUAAUUGUUCACUAUCUGCCAAUACAAACGGUUUGUGUUUGCGCCGUAGAUAUCGUCAUAACGUUUGGCAUAAAAAUCUCCUCCCUGAAGCCGUUUACCUUCAUCGUAGUAGGUCAGCGUCAUGUUGAGGAAGAUUUUGUUGGGCAGAGGGCCAAGGUUCUGCAUUAGGAUGUAGAGCUUCCUCACCAGCAAGAUGCUAGCCUUCUCUGUGCUGCCAACCGCAAUGGCAAAAUCCUCGUUUGGGGUGCUGAUGGAAGGAGAGCUAGAAGGAGCAAACAGUCAACGGGUGAGCUGACCGCCUGUGUUUUUAUGUCAAGUUGCUCUUCCAAAAAAGUGUUGGGUGGAAAAGGUGGGAAGAAAAACCCCACCUCCUCCCAAAGUUCAUCUGUGCCCCUUCUGUGUUGUAGUGAAUCCUGAAUUGAUAAAACUCUGUCACUUUCUGAAAGUGAAGAAAUGAGAGAUGUUCAGUCAUCCUGUUAAGUGGUCAGGAUUUGUCUGGUGUUUCGUCACAAUGAAAGCACAUUACCUGAGGGUCGUCGGGGUCAGUGGAGACCUGAAAUAGUGCCAGAAGUUGACUCAAAAUUGUUACUGACAUUGAUUUUGAUGGAAAAGACUAUUUAAUCCAAACAUCUGCCUUGAAUUAGUUUAAUGAAACACUC